CUUGCCUACAGAUAGCCCCCCAACCUUAAACGACUUGAAUCGGUUAGCAGAGUCACCAGCACAGGUACCAGACCCUGCAACAGACCCAGAUGUCAGCUCUGCCCUCAUAUCUACCCAGGAAAUACAAUUACAGGACCCAAUGGCGCAACUACACUACCUCUGGCUCUUACAGCUGCUCAUCCUCCAACGUGAUAUAUGCCCUCAUGUGCCAACAAUGUCCAUCUGCUCUGUACAUUGGACAAAACAGCCAACCUCUGCGCAAAAGAAUAAAUGGACACAAAUCUGACAUUAAAAAUGGCAACAUCCAGAAACCAGUGGGAGAACACUUCAAUCUAUCAGGACAUUCCAUCAUAAAGGUCACUGUAGUUCAACAGAAACCUUUCAAAACCAGAAUCCAACGGGAAGCUGGUGAACUGGAAUUCAUAUGUAAAUUUGACUCAGUCAGGCUUGGAUUGAAUAGGGACUAUGAAUGGUUAUCUCAUUAUCAGAAGUAACUGAUUUAAUUAUCAGAAGCAAACUGAUCCCAUUAUCAGAAGCUACUAUCCUCUCCAUCUAUAUAUCUGACCAGUUUCUUCUUACCCUCCAUGCAUCUGACGAAGAGAACUGUAAUUCCAGAAAGCUUAUGCUACAGUAAAGUUGGUUAGUCUUAAAGGUGCUACCGGACUAUUUUCUAUUUUGUCUUUGCUAAGAGGCUGGAUUCAGCAGCACUUUUUAGUAUGGCAAGCCAGGAGGACCAAAAUACUCACUGAGAUGGGCUGAGCUGUACACUCGAGCCAGAUAGUUCCAAUGAAGAGGAGCAGAUGUUUAACUAUCUUCAUUUCACCUCCUUGGAGGACUAUAAGGAAUGUCUGGUUACACCUACAGUUUCCAGUGAGGUUACGGAGUCGUCUAAGUGGGAGUUCUUUCUACAGCAGUAUAUAGGAUGCAGCCAGCGAAAUAUUAUCUUAGCGUGUGUCCAGUCCGAAUUCUUUCAUGCCCAGGAUGAAGUGAGUUUUUACUCACGAAACGGGUUAAUGGUACUUGCCUGCACAUCCCCGUCGGCGUUUUUUGAAUAAUUUAAAUUAUUGGACUGUGAAUGAUACAACACCUCUCUAUGACUCUCCACCUUCGGCUUUCCAUCAAAAUAAGACACUUGGCACUUUAAAUGAAUGUAAUGAACUGUACGGACGACAAAGACUUUUCAAUGAUAGGUGUACUGAA